GCAUCGGUAGUUCAGUGGUAAAAUACUCGCCUGCGCCGGGUUCGAUUCCCGGCCGAUGCA
rnacentral:tRNA from 1 species